rnacentral:misc_RNA from 1 species
UUUCCGCCGCCGCCGAGCGUGCUGACGUAGAUGCCUUCCGGCCCGCAAUGAACGGUGUGAGGCCGCGAGUAACCGGUCUUCUUGAAGAUCUCUUCGGGCUCGAUGAUCUUGUGCAUCUUCGCCUUGGUCGGAUCAGGCUUGGUAUCCACGAUGUAGAUGCGCGAGGACCGGAUUCCGGGGAUGAUCAGAUAGCCCGGUCAGCGGCGACAAAGCCGACGAGCAGGCGUUCCAGCCGAAAUGAUGAAACUCGUCGCCCUUGUUCGGCAUCGUCACCGUGUGGACGACCUGACUGUAGCUCGGCGAGCCCGGCUUCAC